rnacentral:rRNA from 1 species
UAGAUACCCUACUAUACUGAUAAAAACUCAGAUUAUUAAUAGUUAUGUUCUUAAAAUUUAAAGAAUUUGGCGGUGACUUAGUCUUGUUAGAGGAACCUGUUUUUGAAUCGAUACUCCACGUAAAAUCUUACUUACUUUAUUUUAGUUUAUAUAUCGUCAUUAUCAGAUAAUUUUAAAAAAAUUAAUUGUUAAAUUUUAAAAUAAAAUUAAAUUAAAUUAGAUCUAGGUGUAGCUUAUAAGUAAGUUAAAAUGGGUUACAAUAAAUUUUAUUUAGUACGGAUUAAUUAUAGGAAGAGUAUAUUAAGGAAGGAGGAUUUAAUUGUAAUGAAAGUUUAAUAAGCUUAAAAGAUAUAGGCUCUAAGUUAUGUACAUAUC